rnacentral:rRNA from 1 species
GCGGCGGACGGGUGAGUAAUGCCUAGGAAUCUGCCUGGUAGUGGGGGGCAACGUUUCGAAAGGAACGCUAAUACCGCAUACGUCCUACGGGAGAAAGCAGGGGACCUUCGGGCCUUGCGCUAUCAGAUGAGCCUAGGUCGGAUUAGCUUGUUGGUGAGGUAAUGGCUCACCAAGGCGACGAUCCGUAACUGGUCUGAGAGGAUGAUCAGUCACACUGGAACUGAGACACGGUCCAGACUCCUACGGGAGGCAGCAGUGGGGAAUAUUGGACAAUGGGCGAAAGCCUGAUCCAGCCAUGCCGCGUGUGUGAAGAAGGUCUUCGGAUUGUAAAGCACUUUAAGUUGGGAGGAAGGGCAGUAAGUUAAUACCUUGCUGUUUUGACGUUACCGACAGAAUAAGCACCGGCUAACUCUGUGCCAGCAGCCGCGGUAAUACAGAGGGUGCAAGCGUUAAUCGGAAUUACUGGGCGUAAAGCGCGCGUAGGUGGUUUGUUAAGUUGGAUGUGAAAGCCCCGGGCUCAACCUGGGAACUGCAUCCAAAACUGGCAAGCUAGAGUACGGUAGAGGGUGGUGGAAUUUCCUGUGUAGCGGUGAAAUGCGUAGAUAUAGGAAGGAACACCAGUGGCGAAGGCGACCACCUGGACUGAUACUGACACUGAGGUGCGAAAGCGUGGGGAGCAAACAGGAUUAGAUACCCUGGUAGUCCACGCCGUAAACGAUGUCAACUAGCCGUUGGAAUCCUUGAGAUUUUAGUGGCGCAGCUAACGCAUUAAGUUGACCGCCUGGGGAGUACGGCCGCAAGGUUAAAACUCAAAUGAAUUGACGGGGGCCCGCACAAGCGGU